rnacentral:rRNA from 1 species
CUGGCGGCAUGCCUAAACUUUCUCGUCGAACGCACCUUUCGGGGUGUGUGGCGCACGGGUGAGUAACGCGUGAGAACCUGCCCUGGGGACGGGGAUAACCCCGGGAAACGGUGGCUAAUACCCGAUGCGCCUUGAGGCAAAAAAUUUUUCGCCCUUCGAGUGGCUCCCCUCCGAUUAACUUGUUGGUGGGGUAAAAGCUCACCACGGCGCUCCCAUCUCGUAUACUGUGUCUCUAGAAAGAUGAGAUCGCCACACUGGGACUGAGACACACGCCCAGACUCCUUACGGAGGGAGCAGUGGGGAAUUUUGCGCAAUGGGCGCAAGCCUUACAUCAACACUUCCGCGCGUGUGUAAGAAGGCUCUUGGGUUUAAACCUCUUUUCUCUGGAACAAUUCUGACGGUACCUGAGAAAAAGCAUCGGCUAACUCGUGCCAGCGCCGCGGUAUUACGGAGGAUGCAAGCGUUAUCCGGAAUUAUUGGGCGUAAAGCGUCCGCAGGUGGCAUUUCCAGUCUGCUGUCAAAGACCAGGGCUCAACCUGGGAC